rnacentral:lncRNA from 1 species
GUACUAUAAUAUUUAAUAGAAUUAUUAAUUUUAAUAAAUCUUUUUUUUUUUUGAGAGGGAGAUAAAGUAUGCUAUUUGUUUCGAAAAUUUAGUUAAAAAUAUGAAGUAACUGGACUACGAACUUUGAAUAUCAGACACUAAUUUGUGGUAGAGCAGUGAAUUCAAAUAUUAUUAUUAUUAUUUUUUGAUUAAACAGAGAUAUACCCUAUUUGAUAAAAAAAUAUUAUCAAUUAU